rnacentral:rRNA from 1 species
UUUUUAGAUUAUUUAUAGUCUAUUAAUUCAAUCCCGGGGCGUUCUAUAUAGUUAUGUAUAAUAAUAUUUAUAUUAUUUAUACCUCUAACUAGAGCGUACCUUGAGCAUAUAUGCUGUGACCCGAAAGAUGGUGAACUAUACUUGAUCAGGUUGAAGUCAGGGGAAACCCUGAUGGAAGACCGAAACAGUUCUGACGUGCAAAUCGAUUGUCAGAAUUGAGUAUAGGGGCGAAAGACCAAUCGAACCAUCUAGUAGCUGGUUCCCUCCGAAGUUUCCCUCAGGAUAGCUGGUGCAUUUAAAUAUUAUGUAAAAUAAUCUUAUCUGGUAAAGCGAAUGAUUAGAGGCCUUAGGGUCGAAACGACCUUAACCUAUUCUCAAACUUUAAAUGGGUAAGAACCUCACCUUUCUUGGUAUGAAGGUUGUGGUUGUGAUAUAAUGUGCCCAGUGGGCCACUUUUGGUAAGCAGAACUGGCGCUGUGGGAUGAACCAAACGUAAUGUUACGGUGCCCAAAUUAACAACUCAUGCAGAUACCAUGAAAGGCGUUGGUUGCUUAAAACAGCA